AAAGAAAGGAAGAAAGGGAUCGGGGUUUGUCUAUCGUUCCCUCUCCCACACGCCUCCUCACACGACCCCACCUCGCACCCCCGAUGCUGCGCCGACACCUCCUCCCCUUCUCUCAUGGCCUCUAAGAGCAUCCACAAAUCCUCCCUCUUCCCUAAUCUCCUUCCUUUUGCCUCUCAAUCACGAAUCAGGAUCCAUGGAGGUGUCCGACAAGUGCUACUUGAUCUGCUAUACGGCAGCGGCGGGGAACACCGGCCGUCGGUCUGCCUCUCGCUGCUCAUCCUCCGGGAGGCUGCGCGCGGAGGGAACUCGUUGUUGGCGAGGUUCCGCGGAGUACCAAGCAGGUGCUCUUCGCCGGCGGGGACGAGCAUGACCUUCUCUUCCCCGGCCUCUUCACCCCCAAGGGCACCGGCCCCAGGAAGAUCCCUAGGUUGCCCUACAAGCACGGAACCUAGAGUGGCGGCUGCGAGGAGGUGGCCGAUGGGGUUCGGCGACCGGACGGGGGCAUGGGCGUCGGUCUUCCUCCUCCUGCUCCCAGUCGCAGGCGCGGCCACCAUCCACCAGAUCUUCACCACGACCCCUCGCACCACCUUGCCGCCGCUGUGUCCUCUAGGACUGAGCUGUGGGAGGAGUGCCUACGGAAGGCCACAGAGCGCAGGCCAUCGCCCACGCCCUCUUCUCGCUGCUGGCCACCAAGUAUAUGAGGCACGCCUGGUGGUGUCAAGUACUUUGGCGAGCUGGAGGAACAUUGCUUUCUAGGGCAAUGAAGUGAAGCUCUACGAACACCAUGUGGAUAAGCUCUUCACAAUGUUUGGACACAAAGAGCCAAAGAUCGACUAUUAUGUCUGCACCAUCAACAAGACGUUUGCCAAACCAGGCCAGGGCAUGAUAAUGAGCGUUUUAAAAGAUUGCACAUGGAAACCUUAUUCAAGUUCACAAACCAAGUAGAUGGCUACGACGCUAUCUGUGGCGUCCCUUGGUCCCUUCUCCCUGGAACAAACGUUCUUGACGGUCCAAUAGUUAUGGACUUAUCUGGGUUUAUACAUAACCAGGAAGCAUAAGCUUGUUGUGCAUACAUUGUUCGGAAAAGUCAUGUACUUAUCAUAGGUAAGCUGUUGGUAUCGACUCUCGGUUGCACUUGAGAAUUUUAUUGACUCUAAAACAGAGUUAAAAUGUUUUAGAUGUCAUGAUGUUGUACUAUAAUGUAUUCAGCUCCUUACUUCCCUCAUUAUAACUGAAUAUGUGGGAAUUAUCUAACUCCAAAAGUUCUGUUCUGGGGACAGCUCGCUUGUUCUCAAAGAAAUCUUUGGAGUUAUAGAGUAUGGCUAAAUCUUUGUUGUGCAUUAUCAUCACAAAUUUUAUACCUCAACUGGUGCUUUCAAUAUACUGCCAUAACCAUUUUUUCUUAUCCUAUUUUCAUCUAAGAAGUGGAUGAGCUCGAGAAGGUGUUCUACGAGGCCCCACGCCCCUUGUCCCUUCCCCUGCUUCUCCGCCGCCGCCUCUUUCUCUGCCAAAUCCACAUCACCGCCGUGCCCGUUGCUGGGACAGGACAGGGGUGGAUGCGAGGGAGAGAGGGGGGUUGCCUCGGCAGCGCCGCCUAGCAGUGUAUGAGGUGUCUAGAGGAGGGCAGUGCGGCAGGGUAAAGUCCUCUCCCACUGCAGAGUAGUCCACGGCACGGUCACUGUCGUCCUCACCUUCUAGCCGUCUGUGAUGUCGUCGCCAUCGCCAAGCCCCCUCGCCACGCGGUACACAUAGAUGGGAGAAGCGGUAGGAUGCAGCAGCUCGCAGAUUCCUUGGUCGUUGCUGAUGCCAAGCAAGAAGACAAGUGUGCACACCUCUAGCUCGACUUGUGCCGGCGGUGGAUAUUGCUGAAGCGGAGGCACCUUUCGUUUUUCGUCCUCUUCGUAGGUGGGAAGGCGAAGCGGGUUGGAGGAAGAAGCCAUGCAAACUUGGUGAGAGAGGAGAUGGGGUAGGGCAAGAAGCUGUGUGGGACGAUUUGGCACUGGUGGACGCCUACGAUCACACCGUCGCCACCUAAAAGGACAUGUCUCAGAAUCCCCCAUGUCAACAACUGGUAGCCAAAGAUCUUCAUGGAACUGAGUGGCAUUUUCAUCACAUUUUUGUGGUGAUUUUACAAUUUGAGUAUUCAGCUUGAACACCCUUUAAACUUUCCGUCGUUCUGUUAUUGUUUUCGUAUAGCGGUAGAUGUCACAAUUGAAUGUUGAAUUCUUGUCACUGCAGAAAAUUGCAGCAUAUAGUGAUUCAUUACUUCUUGAAUAUGUUGAACUGUAUCCCUGUCUGGUUCUAUCUCAUGCCUUCCGGUGUUUUGUGUUUCAGAUGCUAUCUUUGUAUUUAAGUGUCAUUUAUUUAGUUCUUUCAAAA